UUUAUGUUCUGAACAGGGAGGAAAGCUGACGUAGAAGUGUUGGGCGUAAACCUGUUAUUUGAAGCGGCUGAGCAACUGGACAGUAAGUUUCGUUUUGUGGCGAGGUGCAAAAAACGUAACUGCAUUGCACCCUCCAUACUUGACUCAUGUGUUGUGCAGACGAGGUACCCAUCUGCAGCCUCAUUUCUAUCGAAGUGUCUCUAAAUGACACCCCUUCCGUCUCCUGUGGCUGUGAGUGUAGGUUCACAAAAAACAUGUCGUUUCUGAAAAAAACCUAAAUACUCUUGUUCGCCCUCUUUUAUUUCAAAGUUGCUAUAGAUGAGAGCAACAUGCCUGGUUCUUCGUGACGUGGUGAGGUUGGCAUUUGCCUCUAUGGCGAGUUAAUAAAUGCUUCUUUUUAUUCUUCUGGUUAUGUGUCCUCACAUUGUGUUCUGUACAGGGACGGAAGCCAACGUGGAAGUGUGUGGUGUAAACCUGUUAAUUGAAGCGGCUCAGCAACUGGACAGUAGGUUUCGUUUUGUGGCGAGGUGCAGAAAACGUUAUUGCAUUUCACCCUCUAACCUUUGCUCAUGUUUUGUGCAGAUUAGGUGCCCGUCUGCAGCCCCAUUUCUAUUGAAGUGCCUCAAAACACUAUACCUUGUGAUGGCUGUUGGUGUGAUGGAGGACCAUAAGAGGCACGCAGCACUGAUGCUGGAUGAAAUACAGUUGACACCAGGCCUGGCAUACCACCCUUCUACUCAAGUUGCAAUUGGCAGGCCUUCGCUACCACUGAUUCACGACACCUCCGCAGUAGAUGCAGUAGCUACUCAUGACCUGUUAUAUAUGUUAGGAGGAGCAACUACACGUUGGAAACAAACGAUUGGGUACCAUUUCACGGGAAAUUCAUUUAGCUCUGCUGCAAUAAAGAAUGUUGUUUUGUCAA